UACGUAGGGGGCAAGCGUUGUCCGGAAUCAUUGGGCGUAAAGCGCGUGUAGGCGGCUCAGUAAGUCCGCUCUGAAAGCCCGGGGCUUAACCCCGGGAGGCGGGUGGAUACUGCUGAGCUUGAGUCCGGAAGAGGCGAGUGGAAUUCCCGGUGUAGCGGUGAAAUGCGCAGAUAUCGGGAGGAACACCAAUGCGAAGGCAGCUCGCUGGGACGUUACUGACGCUGAGAGCGAAAAGCGUGGGGAGCAAACAGG
rnacentral:rRNA from 1 species